rnacentral:lncRNA from 1 species
ACACUCUAUCUGGAUUUGAUAAUUCUAGUGUAAUCAUGAAAAGGGAGGUAGCACUCACCACAUUCACUGAAGGUGUCAUUAAAGAUACAAAAUUCCAGGUAGUAGAUAUAGAGAUGACUUACAACAUAAUUCUUGGGAGGCCAUGGAUCCACGAAAUUGAUGCAUUACAUUCAACUUUGCAUCAAGUUAUUAAAUUUCCAUCGCCAUGGGAAUCUGUCAAAUUCGUAGAGAUCAACAUACAUCUAGGGCAAUCAACUCCGUUGCAAAUAGAAGCACGAGGAAUGAAGGUAAAUAACAGCUACAGAAGGCACUUGAGGUUACCACAACACAAUCCUCAACUGAGCAAGGGCAAACAGAUAUAUAUUCAAGACUUGAUACCAUUCAAGAACCCUAGGAAAAUGAAAAUAUCAAAACCACAAUAGAAGAAUUGGAGCAUGUCGUGUUAUUAGCUCGAUGGCCUGAUAGGAAAGUUUACGUCGGAGCUAAUCUUAGCCAAGGAAUGAGAGGUAAGUUAGUUAAAUUUUUAAAAACUAAUGCGGACUACUUUGCUUGAUCCCACUCUAACAUGACAGAGAUUCCACCAGAGGUAAUGACUCAUAAAUUAAAUGAAGAUCCCACAUACCCUCCAGUCAAACAAAAGAAGAGAAAGCAAGGAACUUUCAAGAAUCAGGUGACUCAAGAUGAAGUCCAAGAAUUGCUGAAAAUUGGUUCUAUUCAGGAGGUAAAGUAUCCCAACUGGUUAGCUAAUACCGUUGUGGUUCCAAAAAAGGAUGGUAAGUGGCGAGUUUGUGUAGAUUAUACUGAUCUUAAUAAAGCUUGCCCUAAAGACUCUUUUCCACUACCACACAUGGAUCAACUGAUUGAUGUGACUGCAUGUCAUGAGCUAUUAAGCUUUUCAGAUGCAUAUUCAGGUUAUAACCAGAUUAAAAUGGAUCUAGGAGAUGAGGAAAAAACUUCAUUCAUAACGGACAGAGGUACUUAUUCUUAUAAGCUAAUGCCUUUGGUCUAAAGAAUGCAGGUGCAAUGUAUCAAAGGUUAGUU